rnacentral:rRNA from 1 species
GAGUUUGAUCUUGGCUCAGAACGAACGCUGGCGGCAUGCCUAACACAUGCAAGUCGAACGGGAUCCGGACUUCGGGUUCGGUGAGAGUGGCGGACGGGUGAGUAACGCGUGGGAACCUGCCCAGUGGUAGGGGGAGUAAACUAGCGGGGAAAACCUGCAGCUAAAUACCGCAUGAGCCCGAGAGGGGAAAGAUUUAUCGCCACUUGGAGGGCCCGCGUUCGAUUAGGUAGUUGGUGGGGUAAAGGCCUACCAAGCCGACGAUCGAUAGCUGGUCUGAGAGGAUGAUCAGCCACACUGGGACUGAGAUACGGCCCAGACUCCUACGGGAGGCAGCAGUGGGGAAUAUUGGACAAUGGGGGCAACCCUGAUCCAGCAAUGCCGCGUGAGUGAUGAAGGCCUUC